rnacentral:rRNA from 1 species
UAACACAUGCAARUCGAACGGAAAGGCUCCUGCUUGCAGGGGUACUCGAGUGGCGAACGGGUGAGUAACACGUGGGUGAUCUGCCCUGUACUUCGGGAUAAGCUUGGGAAACUGGGUCUAAUACCGGAUAGGACAACUUUUUGGAUAUUGUUGUGGAAAGCUUUUGCGGUAUGGGAUGAGCUCGCGGCCUAUCAGCUUGUUGGUGGGGUAAUGGCCUACCAAGGCGUCGACGGGUAGCCGGCCUGAGAGGGUGUACGGCCACAUUGGGACUGAGAUACGGCCCAGACUCCUACGGGAGGCAGCAGUGGGGAAUAUUGCACAAUGGGCGCAAGCCUGAUGCAGCGACGCCGCGUGGGGGAUGAAGGCCUUCGGGUUGUAAACUCCUUUCGCUAGGGACGAAGCAUWA